UACGUAGGGUGCAAGCGUUGUCCGGAAUUAUUGGGCGUAAAGAGCUCGUAGGCGGUCUGUUGCGUCGGCUGUGAAAACCCGGGGCUCAACUCCGGGCCUGCAGCCGAUACGGGCAGACUAGAGUUCGGCAGGGGAGACUGGAAUUCCUGGUGUAGCGGUGAAAUGCGCAGAUAUCAGGAGGAACACCGGUGGCGAAGGCGGCAUCCUGGACCGGCAUUGACGCUGAACAGCGAAAGCCAGGGGAGCAAACGGG
rnacentral:rRNA from 1 species